AUUGAACGCUGGCGGCAGGCCUAACACAUGCGAGUCGAGCGGAUGAAGGGAGCUUGCUCCUGGAUUCAGCGGCGGACGGGUGAGUAAUGCCUAGGAAUCUGCUUGGUAGUGGGGGAUAACGUCCGGAAACGGGCGCUAAUACCGCAUACGUCCUGAGGGAGAAAGUGGUGGAUCUUCGGACCUCACGCUAUCAGAUGAGCCUAGGUCGGAUUAGCUAGUUGGUGGGGUAAAGGCCUACCAAGGCGACGAUCCGUAACUGGUCUGAGAGGAUGAUCAGUCACACUGGAACUGACACGGUCCAGACUCCUACGGGAGGCAGCAGUGGGGAAUAUUGGACAAUGGGCGAAAGCCUGAUCCAGCCAUGCCGCGUGUGUGAAGAAGGUCUUCGGAUUGUAAAGCACUUUAAGUUGGGAGGAAGGGCAGUAAGUUAAUACCUUGCUGUUUUGACGUUACCAACAGAAUAAGCACCGGCUAACUUCGUG
rnacentral:rRNA from 1 species